UUUACCGCGAGGUAUGCACUGAAGUAAGCCAGACUGCGGUGUCUGUACUGACGAACAGGAACUCUAUACUGAGGCUAUGAGGCUGGAUGAGGUAGCACAUCAUGCCGAAGUCCUAAGUUCUGGAAACAGAGAUAAGCCAAAAUAGUAGAUAGAGCAGGGAUAGACACAAGGAUAUUCAU
rnacentral:ncRNA from 1 species